UACAGAGGGGGCAAGCGUUGUUCGGAAUUACUGGGCGUAAAGGGCGCGUAGGUGGCCUUCUAAGUUGAACGUGAAAUCCCUGGGCUCAACCCAGGAACUGCGUCCAAGACUGGGAGGCUUGAAUCCGGGAGAGGGAUGCGGAAUUCCAGGUGUAGCGGUGAAAUGCGUAGAUAUCUGGAGGAACACCGGUGGCGAAGGCGGCAUCCUGGACCGGUAUUGACGCUGAGGCGCGAAAGCUAGGGGAGCAAACGGG
rnacentral:rRNA from 1 species